rnacentral:rRNA from 1 species
UGUCGAGAUAGAACCCUUGCCUUUUUGAGUACCUUUCGUUUCCUCGGCAGGCUCGCCUGCCAAUGGGGACCCCCAAAAACACUUUGCAGUACCUGUAAUAGUCUGAAAAACAAACAAAAAUUAAAACUUUCAACAACGGAUCUCUUGGUUCUGGCAUCGAUGAAGAACGCAGCGAAAUGCGAUAAGUAGUGUGAAUUGCAGAAUUCAGUGAAUCAUCGAAUCUUUGAACGCACAUUGCGCUUUCCGGUAUUCCGGUAAGCAUGCCUGUUUGAGAAUCGAUAAUCUCUCACAAUGCUCUUUGGACUUGGAUAACAUCUAACCAUGUGACCCUGAGUCCUUUGCAUAGUGGAUUUGGAACACUUGCUUUUGCAGCAACGUUCUUAAAAUUAAUGUUUUGACCAUCUGAUUGCUGAGGCAACCUGGGUGUAUAUGAGUGCAUGAAUAGGUUAAGUCCUUUAUGAUUUCACUCAUUCCUGGGUUAUUUUUCUUCAGUAAUUGUGGGCAACUCCAGUUCAUAACUCAGUUUGAGUUCCGUUUGGAACUUGAUCUGAAAACUUGGUCUCAAAUCAGGUAGGAAAACCCGCUGAACUUAAGCAUAUCAAUAGGCGGAGGAA